GACGAACGCUGGCGGCGUGCUUAACACAUGCAAGUCGAACGGAAAGGCCCUGCUUUUGUGGGGUGCUCGAGUGGCGAACGGGUGAGUAACACGUGAGUAACCUGCCCUUGACUUUGGGAUAACUUCAGGAAACUGGGGCUAAUACCGGAUAGGAGCUCCUGCUGCAUGGUGGGGGUUGGAAAGUUUCGGCGGUUGGGGAUGGACUCGCGGCUUAUCAGCUUGUUGGUGGGGUAGUGGCUUACCAAGGCUUUGACGGGUAGCCGGCCUGAGAGGGUGACCGGCCACAUUGGGACUGGGAUACGGCCCAGACUCCUACGGGAGGCAGCAGUGGGGAAUAUUGCACAAUGGGCGGAAGCCUGAUGCAGAAACGCCGCGUGCGGGAUGACGGCCUUCGGGUUGUAAACCGCUUUCGCCUGUGACGAAGCGUGAGGGACGGUAAUGGGUAAAGAAGCACCGGCUAACUACGU
rnacentral:rRNA from 1 species